UUCUUCUGAUACUGGAGACAUAUUUUCUGGGAGUCAAAGACAUCACCCACAAGAACAUGAAAGCCUUAUGUUUCUUCCUGAUUCUGGUGACCGCUCCCAGAUGUGUCCUGUCACAAGUGCAGCUGAAGGAAUCAGGACCUGGCCUGGUGAAGCCCUCACAGACCCUGACCCUCACCUGCUCUGUCUCUGGAUUCUCUUUAACCAGCCAUACUGUGCAGUGGAUCCGCCAGACCCCUGGAAAAGGGCUGGAGUGGGUCGGCUGGAUAAAUACUGGUGGAAGCACAAACUAUAACCCAACUCUUCAGUCCCGAGUAGUCAUCACCAGGGAUAACUCCAAGAAUGAAGUUUAUUUUAAGCUGAGCAGCCUGAGACCCGAGGACACAGCCACAUAUUUCUGUGUGAGAGACACAGUGAGGGGAAGUCAGGCUGAGCCCAGACAAAAACCUCCCCUGAGGACACAGGAGAGGCUUGCCUGCAGCGGGCACUCCAGACCACCAGGGGUCACUCAGGGACCAUUCCAAGGGGCAGGAGCAGAGAGGGGCUGGGAGGAGAUUCCUGGCCUUACCUGGGGUUCCCUCUUCUUGCUUUACAACACGUAA